rnacentral:tRNA from 1 species
AGUUAAUGAGCUUGAAUUUAAAGCAUAUAUUUUGAAAAUAUAAGAUAAAAAAUUUUAUUAACUU